UGAGAAACCCAAAAGAUCGAAUGGGGAGAUUCAACUUCAGCGAGUCCGGCGCGUGUGCGGUUCGCGAUGUCAGCGGGACUUCGGUCUUGCGGGCACGCGUCCGUUAUGAUUUUAUUGCCGGGCUUCGUCGUCGUGCACUUCUCCCCUAGUAGGACGUCGCGACCCGUUGGGUGUCGGUCUACGACCCGGGUGGGCGCCUGCCAUGCGUCGCGCUUCGCGGCUCCCGUGUGGCAGACCCCCGGUUGUCUGACCAGCUGCUCGGCGGUACUCGCACGGUAUCGAGCCGCAGAUAUUGAAACUGCGUCCGGGCCGCCGCAAGCGAGGCCAGUGUUUUAUCCCGGAUAUUACAGACCUGGCGCCGUCACCGGGCCUGGCCAGCUGUUGGUUGGCGGUCUCCUACGACCGGCUCUUUAUAUG
rnacentral:rRNA from 1 species